GCAGCCAUGAACACACAUCGAUCCACAUCGAUCCGCAUUUCUCGCGUCUUUUAUACGUCGAAGUGAGUCUCGCGCGUUAAUAAGUCUCGGGAGUGUCGAGAAUAAUGAUGUGCGAUUGCCGGGGCAUAUCGUGAAGACGUCAUUUAUAGGACAGCCUGCCAGGAAAGAGAAUAAGCCACGAAUCCGCCUACGAGGAGAUGAUACAACAGCAGACUUUGCUGCUUCGAUCUCUACAGCGACGAGACAUCACUGGAGGAAACCGAAGAAGGUGAACACGGUGAAAUCAUCGCUGGCAGCAACAUGAUAGAUACAUUCCCUCGUCGCGAGCAGCGACGUCUACUUCGCAACAGUAGCAGUAUCCAAGAACAUCUUCGUCAACGUAGUCUAGAGAAGUCUUCUCUACAGUCGACAGAUUUUCUAGAGCUUCCAUCGUCGCUGUCCUCAACAUGGCUGUCUAUGGCACACCGAGAUUUUCAACUCCGUCUGUAAUGAAGAAAACGAGCGAUAAGCUACAAAGCCGUAUUAUUUAAAGAAGUACUACAUAUAUAUACAUAUAUAAAUUUUUUUUUAAAGAG